rnacentral:rRNA from 1 species
UACAGAGGUCCCAAGCGUUGUUCGGAUUCACUGGGCGUAAAGGGUGCGUAGGCGGUCGGGUAAGUCUGAUGUGAAAUCUCACAGCUUAACUGUGAAACUGCAUUGGAUACUAUCCGGCUCGAGGAAUGGAGGGGGAGACUGGAAUACUUGGUGUAGCAGUGAAAUGCGUAGAUAUCAAGUGGAACACCAGUGGCGAAGGCGAGUCUCUGGACAUUUUCCUGACGCUGAGGCACGAAAAGCCCAGGGGGGAGCAAAACGGGG